rnacentral:lncRNA from 1 species
AGUUCUCUCUCAAACCAGAAAAAGAAAUGAAGAUAAAACAGAUACCAAUGUAACUUUUACCUGACAAAACAACCCUUCAAAGAAUCAGCACAAUUUAAAAGUUUAGAAUAAUUCUUUUUGUGGAAGCUCUUACAGGUUGAGGUUGUGCUCAAAAUAAAAGAAACAGCCUGAAGAUUAUAUUACUACUACUACCGUAUGGUCAGUUACAUCUUUACUACCUUUAGAUUUUUUUUUUUUCCUUUUGGAGUAGAUUAAUGCAUAAUCCUUGCUGCACUGACUCAUUUAGGUUAUACCUGUUUUUCACUCUGGCUUCCCCCAGGUCCACCAGCAUGUUCAUACCAAUCAUUAUCUAGACAUGCAUGCAUUUCUAGACAGGAGAAUUUAGCACUUUCAACUAUGUGGAAAAUUCAUUUGUCAACUGAUCACGAAGAUAAUUAGAUUCACACUUCAGUUACCUCUUAUAUCUUUAAACAAUAACAAAAUAUCAAAGUGUAUAAAAAGAAUGCAAAUAGAGUUGUUUUUUACAGAGUGCCAGAUAUUUAGAACUGCUGCCUACAGUCCGAGUGAGAGAGAUGGUCUUGGAAAGCUGAUGAAACAACUUCAUGAAUUAAUUCUGUUUUCAUUAAAUCUGGUCUGAUCUACUGCCUACUCCAUCAGGAGACUUCAUUAGGCUAACUGGAAAAGGACAACCAAUAUGGUAACUUAGUUAGGUCUGGUUGCGCUACAGCUAGAUAAAAAGGUAUUUCUAGGCCCACUGAUUCUGAGUGUAAGGUUUUCAGGUUCUCAGAUCGCAAGGAUUUAGUGUGAACCAAAAAGUCUGCAACUUGAAGUAUGAGAUUUGAAGGAAAGAGUUGAUCUUCUCCUAGAGUUCAAAUUGCUUUCAUUGACUCCGAAUGUUCGACCAAAAAACGAAUGCAAAGGAAACUAAGGGCAGAUGAGUAUUAGAAUAAGUUCACCAAAAGCAAUGUUCUCAAAGCACCAGUGCUUCAAGC